GUUAGUUGGUUGGCGGGGGCGGCGGUGAUACGUCGGAGGUGUGCGGUAAUUGGAAGUACGGUGCUUACAGGGGGCGCAGGGGGCGCCGACGGUCAUGCGUGAGUUCCCCGGGCUUAACCUAGGAAGUGCGUCCGAAGCUAUGGGUCUGGAGUGUGGCAGAGGGGGGUGGAAUUCCACGUGUAGCGGUGAAAUGCGUAGAGAUGUGGAGGAACACCGAUGGCGAAGGCAGGCUCCUGGGCCAACACUGACGCUCAUGCGCGGAAGCGUGGGGAGCAAACAGGAUUAGAUACCCCGGUAGUG
rnacentral:rRNA from 1 species